rfam:Pseudoalteromonas tunicata D2 1099591001417, whole genome shotgun sequence.
GCACCUAUUUGGCAAACUAACCGAAAGGUUAGGACGCAAAGCUUCCGGUCUACCAUCAUUUUAUGAUCAUGAUAGCGGGGUUGCCGCA